rnacentral:rRNA from 1 species
AGCAGCCGCGGUAAUUCCAGCUCCAAUAGCGUAUAUUAAAGUUGUUGCAGUUAAAAAGCUCGUAGUUGAAUUUCGGGAUCAAUCUAUCGGUCGUGCAAUAGUACGUACUGAUUUUAUUGAUUCCUCUCUUCUGAUGAACUAUGAUGUCAUUAAUUUGGUGUCAUAGGGAAUCAGGACUGUUACUUUGAAAAAAUUAGAGUGUUUAAAGCAGGCUCACGCUUGAAUACAUUAGCAUGGAAUAACGAAAUAGGACGUUUGAUUCUAUUUUGUUGGUUUCUAGGAUCGACGUAAUGAUUAAUAGGGAUAGUUGGGGGCAUUAGUAUUCAAUUGUCAGAGGUGAAAUUCUUGGAUUUAUUGAAGACUAACUACUGCGAAAGCAUUUGCCAAGGAUGUUUUCAUUAAUCAAGAACGAAAGUUAGGGGAUCGAAGACGAUCAGAUACCGUCGUAGUCUUAACCAUAAACUAAUGCCGACUAGGGAUCGGAUGAUGUUAAUUUUUAAUUGGUACUCU